rnacentral:rRNA from 1 species
AGGGGAGGGGGACCCUACGGGUCUAGGGAAUACCCCGGAUCCGUUUUGCCCCCUGUCCCUAGCUUCAUAAUAAAAUUGUGGAGACUAUGUGGCAAAAGAAAAACAAGGGAUUUAAAAGAACGGGGGGGGGGNNNNNCCCCCCCGGGAUCCGAAGGGUCCGCCACGCCCCGUCCCGAUUUAUAUGAAAAACCACUCUUUUUAUUAAGAUUACUGUCUAACACCGUACAAGUAAGAUAGUUUGGUUGGGGCGACCGCCUUCGAAAAAGUAUCGAAGGCGCACAUAAGAUUAAUCAGGAGAAGGAUCCGAAGGAUCUUUUUCUCGGGAGUAAUGUCCCAAAAAAAGGAGAUUAAUUUGACUGAGAGGGCAACAACCCGAACAGACGUCAAAGGAUAGACCGGGGGGGGAAUCCUACAGAUUCCUUCCCCCCCUU